GUGCUGCCAGAGCUGGUGUGAAGGCUGGGAUGGUACCCCCUGGGGAUUGUUCAAGCUUCCCUCAGUGGGGUUCUGGGGGUGCUCCUGUGGCAGACUGGUCUGCGACUGGUAGAAGCUUGGGUACCCAAGACCACCGUACUGAGAUGGAUGAUGUGCCUAGCGGAAGCCACCAUGCUGACUCUGGCCCUGGAAACCAUAGAAGUUACCAGGCGGAACUGCAGAAAUUGUUCUUGAACCAGCGCCUCCAUGAAGCCACAUUGCUGAAUUAUCACUCUGAUAUGGAAACAAAAAAACGUCAGAAUGAAAUGAACCUCCAAAACAAAAAUAGGAACACGAAAACCUCAUGCAACUAAAGAAGGCU
rnacentral:misc_RNA from 1 species